rnacentral:rRNA from 1 species
CCCUUAGAUGUUCUGGGCCGCACGCGCGCUACACUGACGAAGUCAGCGAGCAUGUCCUACGCCGACAGGUGCGGGGAAUCUUGUCAAACUUCGUCGUGAUGGGGAUUGAUUAUUGAAAUUCUUGAUCAUCAACGAGGAAUUCCUAGUAAGCGCAAGUCAGCAGCUUGCGUUGAUUACGUCCCUGCCCUUUGUGCACACCGCCCGUCGCUACUACCGAUUGAAUGGUUUAGUGAGAUCUUCGGAUUGGCGCCACUGCGGCUCAGCAAUGGGCUCGGUGGAUGCCGAAAAGUUGAUCAAACUUGAUCAUUUAGAGGAAGUAAAAGUCGUAACA